GACGAACGCUGGCGGCAGGCCUAACACAUGCAAGUCGAACGCCCCGCAAGGGGAGUGGCAGACGGGUGAGUAACGCGUGGGAACCUACCUUACGGUCGGGAAUAGCUCAGGGAGACUUGGGGUAAUACCGGAUACGCCCUUACGGGGAAAGAUUUAUCGCCGUUAGAUGGGCCCGCGUAGGAUUAGCUAGUUGGUGAGGUAACGGCUCACCAAGGCGACGAUCCUUAGCUGGUCUGAGAGGAUGAUCAGCCACACUGGGACUGAGACACGGCCCAGACUCCUACGGGAGGCAGCAGUGGGGAAUAUUGGACAAUGGGCGCAAGCCUGAUCCAGCCAUGCCGCGUGAGUGACGAAGGCCUUAGGGUUGUAAAGCUCUUUUGGCGGGGAAGAUAAUGACGGUACCCGCAGAAUAAGCUCCGGCUAACUUCGUGCCAGCAGCCGCGGUAAUACGAAGGGAGCUAGCGUUGUUCGGAAUCACUGGGCGUAAAGCGCACGUAGGCGGAUAUGUCAGUCAGGGGUGAAAUCCCGGAGCUCAACUUCGGAACUGCCUUUGAUACAGCAUAUCUCGAGUCCGAGAGAGGUGAGUGGAAUUCCUAGUGUAGAGGUGAAAUUCGUAGAUAUUAGGAAGAACACCGGUGGCGAAGGCGGCUCACUGGCUCGGUACUGACGCUGAGGUGCGAAAGCGUGGGGAGCAAACAGG
rnacentral:rRNA from 1 species